rnacentral:rRNA from 1 species
CAGUCGCCACGGUAACACGUAGGUGGCAAGCGUUGUCCGGAAUUAUUGGGCGUAAAGGGCUCGCAGGCGGUUUCUUAAGUCUGAUGUGAAAGCCCCCGGCUCAACCGGGGAGGGUCAUUGGAAACUGGGAAACUUGAGUGCAGAAGAGGAGAGUGGAAUUCCACGUGUAGCGGUGAAAUGCGCUGAGAUCGGAAAGAACACCAACGGCGAAAGCACUCUGCUGGGCCGACACUGACACUGAGAGACGAAAGCUAGGGGAGCAAAUGGGAUUAGAGACCCCUGUAGUCCCUGUCUCUUAUAA